GACGAACGCUGGCGGUGUGCUUAACACAUGCAAGUCGAACGGAAAGGCUCUGCUUCUGUGGGGUGAUCGAGUGGCGAACGGGUGAGUAACACGUGAGUAACCUGCCCUUGACUUUGGGAUAACUUCAGGAAACUGGGGCUACUACCGGAUAGGAGCUCCUGCUGCAUGGUGGGGGUUGGAAAGUUUCGGCGGUUGGGGAUGGACUCGCGGCGUAUCAGCUUGUUGGUGGGGUAGUGGCUUACCAAGGCUUUGACGGGUAGCCGGCCUGAGAGGGUGACCGGCCACAUUGGGACUGAGGUACGGCGCAGACUCCUACGGGAGGCAGCAGUGGGGAAUAUUGCACAAUGGUCGGAAGCCUGAUGCAGCAGCGCCGCGUGCGGGAUGACGGCCGUCGGGUUGUAGACCGCUUUCGCCUGUGACGAAGCGUGAGUGACGGUAAUUGGUAAAGAAGCACCGGCUAACUACGUG
rnacentral:rRNA from 1 species